GGAACAACCAUCGUAAUCCCCACCCAUCAUCACCCACACAAAAGCAAAUCAGAAGACGUUGGUUGUGAUGGGCAAGUUCCUUCUGCUUUUGCCUUAGCACAAAACCUUCUGCAUCUCUUCUAAGAGAGAGAUUGUUUUUCCCAGACGCUCCAACCUUGAGAGCUGUAGAGAACUUAACCAUGAAGGCCACUUUGCUCCUUAGUGCCAUUCUUUUCAUGAGCCUGAUUACGGCUAAUGUACAAGGUAAAUCUGAAGAUAAAACUAAAUCUGAAGCUAAACCUGGAGCUGACUUGAUGAACAAGACAAAUACUACUCCUAGGAGUUCUGGCAUAAUGGUGUCUGGGGGCCCAGUCUUCUUUUUGUUGCCACUGAUGUGGAUGAUGGUCCAUCUUCUUCACAUGUAACGAACCUGAAGCUUCACUUUUUGGGAGAAAUGAAGGUCCAUCAGUCCUACCCAAGUUUAAGAAAAGGGGCUCCUUUCCAUUGCUAACUGCUUAAUAGCCCAGCCAGUAUCCUGCUCUUGCUGCAAUAUUAGUCCGACAUGUUGGACUAUCCAUGAUUUCAUUGCAUCGGCCAAUUAAACAGGGAAAUGAAAAAGAAAGCCAGGGAAAUGUCUGAUGUCAAUCCUCAAGUGCAUGCUUUUUUUGCAAUAUGACUGUCAUUGUUCAGAGGAAAUCUGCGUAAGACGAGUUAUGAAAUAUCUCAGACACAUCUUCUGCUCCUGAGACAGAUAAUCCAGAUCAUACUUUUCCUACAAAAUCCUUUUGCAGAGCUGUCUAGGGAUGGACAUAAGCCACACAUGCCUGUAAUCAUGUCUCGUCCAUUAUGGUCUCCAUCCUACUGAUGCUCUUUUAUAUUUGGUCUCUCAAGCAACUAUGCUGUCACCUCUGAAGAAAUGAAUCUGCCUUGUGAGAAUCCUUCUCUUGUCUCAAAGAAAGAAGUAACUGCUCUACCCAGGAGGCUUCAUCUUGAUGAGCUUCAGCACUUCAAGACAAGAAUACCGGUUGCUGUACGAUAAAGCCACAUCUAGCGUGGUGGUUCCACCAGAUUAUCCUUUUUUUAACAGGACAGGAGAGGACAAUUGCUCAUCAGACUGCAAGUAGCCAAACAGACAGAAUGUCUCUGAUUGUAACUGCAUCUGCCUUUAUGUGAAAUGUAAUCAGGUUUUUUGCAUUUCCCCAUUUACAGAAAACAUUUACAGAAAAUAAUAACACAAGAUAACAAGUUUGUUUUAUAAAUUGGUUGCUAUUACCUUCUGUAAUAUAUGUGCAGGUUGAUUUAAAUAAAAGCUUUUUGGCUAGCUGGCAA